CCUUGGGAGUGCUAAGAAAAUACAAGUAGAGGUUUACCUUGAAAGUAAGCACAUUGAAUAAGGAA
rnacentral:sRNA from 12 species